GGGCGAAUGGUCUAGAGGUAUGAUAUUCGCUUUGCAUCAUCGGAGAUAUUACCUAAUUAGGGAAACUCGAAGGUUAAUUGCGAUUGCGAAGGGUCCGGGGUUCAAUUCCCCGUUCGUCCA